AACGAACGCUGGCGGCAGGCCUAACACAUGCAAGUCGAACGGAACCUUCGGGUUUAGUGGCGCACGGGUGCGGAACACGUGGGAAUGUACCCUCUGGUAAGGAAUAAUAUCUGGAAACGGAUACUAAUACCUUAUAAUGACUUCGGUCCAAAGAUUUAUCGCCAGAGGAUCAGCCCGCGCCUGAUUAGAUAGUUGGUGAGGUAAUGGCUCACCAAGUCUACGAUCAGUAGCUGGUCUGAGAGGAUGAUCAGCCACACUGGAACUGAGACACGGUCCAGACUCCUACGGGAGGCAGCAGUGAGGAAUAUUGCACAAUGGGGGAAACCCUGAUGCAGCCAUGCCGCGUGAGUGAAGAAGGCCUUAGGGUUGUAAAGCUCUUUCAAUAGUGAAGAUUAUGACGGUAACUAUAGAAGAAGCCCCGGCUAAAUUCGUG
rnacentral:rRNA from 1 species